GUCAGUAAGCUCGUAGUUGGAUUUGUGGCUGUCUCUAGCUGCCUAUCACUUAGUGUUAGUGCUAGCUGGAGUCGCCAUCCUUGGGUGGAGCCUGUGUGGCAUUAGGUUGUCGUGCAGGGGAUGCCCAUCGUUUACUGUGAGAAAAUUAGAGUGUUCAAAGCAGGCUUAUGCCGUUGAAUAUGUUAGCAUGGAAUAAUAAGAUAGGACCUCGGUACUAUUUUGUUGGUUUGCGCACCGAGGUAAUGAUUAAUAGGGACAGUUGGGGGUAUUCGUAUUCCAUUGUCAGAGGUGAAAUUCUUGGAUUUCUGGAAGACGAACUACUGCGAAAGCAUUUACCAAGGAUGUUUUCAUUAAUCAAGAACGAAAGUUAGGGGAUCGAAGAUGAUUAGAUACAAUCCGUAGUCCA
rnacentral:rRNA from 1 species